GAAAUAAAGGAUUUAGUGAAUAUUAGCUGCUGCUAUGAUUAUUACUUAAGUAUCAAAUUAUUCUUUAGAAUCCUUCUCCAGAUUUGAUCUCACUCAACAUAUGUCUUUAGAAAACUCCUUAUUCUGCUACACUUCCUCGUUUUAGGAAAAGGAUCUUACUGUCAAUUUCAUGUUUUAUACAUUUUAAUAUAGUGUGUUGUAUGAAUAACAUCAACCACACUUGUUGUAGCCCUCUAUCCUUUGGAUGAAAUUCAUCACUCAUAUAGAAAUUCUAAUGUUGAAAUAGGAAUUAACACCUAUUUUUUAUAAAGGACUAAGUUGUGUCUUUUAUUUGGCCUCAAAUUAUGUCAAAAUGAAUAUUCUCAUUAUAGUGAUUAUUUGAAUGAAUAUUGUACUUUCUGCUCUGGCUUUUGUUCUCUGGUAUGGAAAUUUACCAACCUGUCUACCUAUUCUGUACCCACAUCCCCCUCAACCAUCAGCAGGUCAGAGAAACAACAGGAGAACUCACUUGAAGAACACCAGCGGAGAAAAGACAGAGGCACACUGUGGCAGUGCCUCAGGAAAUAACUGGAAUGAAGAGGAAGGAGCCACCACCCUGAACAGCAUCACUCAGCCAUUGACAGAGCCAGUGAACUCCAGCACUCCAGAACCCCAGACUCCUGACCAACCAGGUUAGCACCCUUAGUAGUCACAAAAUUUUACUGGAAAUUUUGAGGAGUCCUAACACUCUU
rnacentral:lncRNA from 1 species